AGAUACCCCACUAUGCUCAGCCGUAAACUUUGAUAGGUCACUACGCCCCCUAUCCGCCCGGGUACUACGAGCAUUAGCUUGAAACCCAAAGGACUUGGCGGUGCUUCACAUCCGUCUAGAGGAGCCUGUUCUAGAACCGAUAACCCCCGUUAAACCUCACCCUCCCUUGUUAGUCCCGCCUAUAUACCGCCGUCGUCAGCCUACCCUGUGAAGGGCCAGAAGUGAGCAAGAUUGGUAAGACCCAAAACGUCAGGUCGAGGUGUAGUGAAUGAGAGGGGAAGAAAUGGGCUACAUUUCCUAACUCAGGAAAUACGAACAAUGAACUGAAAUAAGCAUUAGAAGGUGGAUUUAGCGAGUAAGCAGGGAAACAGAGUG
rnacentral:rRNA from 1 species